rnacentral:lncRNA from 1 species
GAGCGGGCACCGACAGGUACGGAACCUUCGCAGGCGCCGGAAACGGCGGCCCCUCGACCUCCCCCUCCCCCAGAAAGUGGCAACGAAUGCCUAAGUCCCCCGAACCUGCCUUUUGUGGGAGGUGACAGGUGAACGGAAUUCAGGUCUGGCCACUCUCGCCGCUGCCUACCUCCCCACCAUCUGCUUCCUCGCAGACAAGCAGACCCGGCGCAUAAUGAGGUAGCAGCCUCCAGCCGGCCACCGUGACUAACUCAGAACAAAAGCGCUCCCUCCACGCCUCCUCCAACAAAGGGGCCACCAGCCCCGGCGCUCCCCGAAGGCUGCGGGGCUCCCGGCUGCCGGCUGCGGAGCUGCCGCGCGCAAACUUCCCGGGGCUCCCGGGGCUGCCGGCGCCACGGAGCCGGGGCCGCGGAGGGAGGAAGCGCAAGCCGCCCGGAGAAAGUGAGGCCAGACCCGGCGGGGGAGAGGGGAGGGAGCCGGGCGGCCGCGGAAGGAGGGUGAUUGAUCAGUGCGCGGUGCCCGGCGCUCUGUCCCGUUAUUAGAGGCGGCCAAAGCAGGGCCACGCAAUAACCUCAGAAUCGCCAACUAAUUGACGCUGCAGGCAACUACUUCAUUGUGCGCGCUGGUUUUAUGUCUUCAUAGCCGGUGAUUGACAAGGUGUAAUUAGUCAUCUCACUCGGUGAUAAACAUGGGCACCCUCCUCCCGCGGCAUCAGGCCGUGUGUACCAGCAGAGGAAGCGAUAGUUGACGCUGAUAUACCAUUAAAUCAAAAUGAAGACGUUCAGAAGCAGGGAUGUUGCUCUUGGAGAAUGUGAAGACAGUUUGCUUCUUGACAAGCGAGCGAACGGGCGCCCAGAUUUUUGCAGCCUUUCCGAGUCUCCCCCGAGGGAGAGGCGGCAGAGAAAACGCCGGAUUUGGGAGCCACCAGGGAAGGAUCCGCGCAGGGGAGCCGCCCUCCUUGGCCCCAGACCCGCCUGCCUGGGGCCCCCUUUGCUCACUGUCAAUGUAUGGUCUGAAGCUCUGAGGAUGGUGCUGGGGACUGGGGUCGGGGGAAGCCUCUUGAAUAAUAACUGCAAAGAAGAAAGAGGCGAGAACGUCUCCCUAACCUUGAAGCAGAAAGGACUGUGUUCUUAAAGCUGUUGGCUGCAGUCACAGGGCCAGUUGCCCGCCUCUGUUCCC